GGUAAGCAAGCAAAGGAGCGUGAGAAUGUUCAUACAUCCAAUACGUAGCUAAAUAGAUCCAUUCUCUCUCUUCCAGGGAUCAGAGAGAUUGGUUGUGUGUUCCUCGGAGGGGCUUUGUACAGUAUAAGUGAUAGUAUGUGUCGGAAACUGGAUAAAUGUCCGAAUAUUGACCCAAAUACUGAAUAUCGAUAGAGUAUUGAUAAUGUUAGGCCACUGGGGGCAAAAGAGCUCAAUCACCACCAACGCCGUGGUGGUAGAGAGGGGACGACGAAUCACCCAAUCCAAUCCCUCCAACAGAUAAUUGAUUACAUGAUAAAAAAGGC
rnacentral:sRNA from 2 species